AGUAAAAGUCGUAACAAGGUUUCCGUAGGUGAACCUGCGGAAGGAUCAUUAAUGAAAAAAAAUAACUUUUUUUGGACGGAGAAAUUUCUUUUUCCGAAAAAGUUUCAACCACAUUGUGAAUCUUUUUUUUUACCAAUUUCCCUUUCUUUUUUGGAGGGCAAAACAACCAAUUUGUACAUCUCAUACACAAAACAAAAACAAAACUUUCAACAACGGAUCUCUUGGCUUGCCCAUCGAUGAAGGACGCAGCAAAAUGCGAUAACUAGUGUGAAUUGCAGAAUUACGUGAAUCAUCGAGUCUCUGAACGCAAAUAGCGCUCCAUGGCUAUUCCGUGGAGCAUACCUGUUUGAGUCUCACAUUUUCUCUUCUUAACUGAGAUAUGCGCCUCUAAUCUCCCUCAAGGGGGUGGAUUUGGUCGUCAAAUAAUUUGAAUGGUGGGAAUACAGAAAAAGCGUGCUCAUAAAUGCGCCUUCUCCAACCCAAAACAUUUUUUAUAAUUACUGAGCUCAAAUCAGGCAGGACUACCCGCUGAACUUAAGCAUAUCAAUAAGCGGAGGA
rnacentral:rRNA from 1 species